rnacentral:rRNA from 1 species
GACGAACGCUGGCGGCGUGCUUAACACAUGCAAGUCGAACGAUAGCGUAGAGACUGCUUGCUUUUUCUGCAAUCUAGUGGCAUACGUGUGACUAACGCGUAAUCAACCUGCCCUACGGAUGGGGACAACAGCUGGAAACGACUACUACUACCGAAUACGUUCUGCAUGUCGUAUGACUAACGGAUGCAAGGAUGGCCUUACUUUAUAAGCUAUCGCCGGAGUAGGGGUUUGCGUUGGAUUAGCUAGUUGGAGGGGUAACGGCCCACCAAGGCGACGAUCAGUAGCCGGUCUGAGAGGAUGAACGGCCACAUUGGAACUGAGACACGGUCCAGACUCCUACGGGAGGCAGCAGUAGGGAAUCUUCCGCAAUGGGCGAAAGCCUGACGGAGCAACGCCGCGUGAGUGAAGACGGCCUUCGGGUUGUAAAGCUCUGUUAUAAGGGACGAAUAAGCUUGUGGUUAAUACGCAUGAGAAGUGACGGUACCGUAAGAGAAAGCCACGGCUAACUACGUG